rnacentral:rRNA from 1 species
UACAGAGGGGGCAAGCGUUGUUCGGAAUUACUGGGCGUAAAGGGCGCGUAGGCGGCCUUCUAAGUCGAACGUGAAAUCCCUGGGCUCAACCCAGGAACUGCGUCCGAUGCUGGAAGGCUUGAAUCCGGGAGAGGGAUGCGGAAUUCCAGGUGUAGCGGUGAAAUGCGUAGAUAUCUGGAGGAACACCGGUGGCGAAGGCGGCAUCCUGGACCGGUAUUGACGCUGAGGCGCGAAAGCCAGGGGAGCAAACGGG